rnacentral:lncRNA from 1 species
UUGGUCUAUAGUGGCUGUGCAAGGCAGGGAUGGGAGGUGAGACAGUGUCAGUAAAGUGGAAGAUGACUAUUGCUCAUCUCCAACAUGGUUCAAGCUACAACUAUAGUUAUUGCCCAGCUAAGAAAUCUAAAAGGAGGGUGAAUUGGGUUCUUGAAAAAUUUUAAGAGCUAGUGAUUUGGUGCCAAACCUAGCACCUAUAUUUACUCCCCAAGCUCCUACUUGAAAAUUUUC